GAUGGAGACUGGGCAGAAGGGAUCUGGCAGCAUCUCUUCCUGAGGGUGUGAGGAAUGAGUCCUGUGGAGGGCAGCACAUGAGCCCUCUACCUCCAUGUGGGCCCCAGUCCCCUCCUGCUGUCAGGCUAGGUGGGCCUUCGAGAGAGAGAGAGAGGAGGCUGCGUUCAUUAUGUGCACUCUUCUGUGUUAUGUGAGAGCGAGGGGUCGGCAGCAGCAAGUGGCCUGCGUGCGCGAGGGGGGCUUUCUCUGUGGUCCGACGCUGUGUCAAGCUCUGCACCGGCCAUGAGUAUGCAGCCAAGAUCAUCAACACCAAGAAGCUGUCAGCCAGAGAUCACCAGAAGCUGGAGAGAGAGGCUCGGAUCUGCCGCCUUCUGAAGCAUUCCAACAUCGUGCGUCUCCACGACAGCAUCUCCGAGGAGGGCUUCCACUACCUGGUCUUCGAUCUGGUCACUGGUGGGGAGCUCUUUGAAGACAUUGUGGCGAGAGAGUACUACAGCGAGGCUGAUGCCAGUCACUGUAUCCAGCAGAUCCUGGAGGCCGUUCUCCAUUGUCACCAAAUGGGGGUCGUCCACAGA
rnacentral:sRNA from 1 species